rnacentral:rRNA from 1 species
UAUUGCUCUUGAACGAGGAAUCCCUAGUAAGCACAAGUCAUUAGCUUGUGCUGAUUACGUCCCUGCCCUUUGUACACACCGCCCGUCGCUACUACCGAUUGAAUGGCUUAGUGAGGCCUUCGGAUUGAGGUUUGGAGACUGGCAACAGACUCCGGAUUUUAAGAAGUUGGUCAAACUUGGUCAUUUAGAGGAAGUAAAAGUCGUAACAAGGUUUCCGUAGGUGAACCUGCGGAAGGAUCAUUACCAAUUUUAGCGAACCUGAUCGUGUAUAAAAAUAAAAAAGAUCACUUUCAACAACGGAUCUCUUGGCUCUCGCAUCGAUGAAGAACGUAGCGAAGUGCGAUAAGUAAUGUGAAUUGCAGAUUCCGUGAAUCAUCGAAUCUUUGAACGCAAAUUGCACUCUCUGGUAUUCCGGAGAGUAUGCCUGUUUGAGGGUCAGUACAAUCAAAAUCGGAGCGAUGCCUUUUGGGUGAAGCACCGGAGUUUGGGUCAUCUUAACUCUUUAAGAGACCUAAAAUUAACAUUCUUUUUUUGCUCACUUUGAGACGUACAUAAUUUUUUUUAUUCGUCUACCCUGGUGGCAAAAAUUUUAUUAGAUCGUGAAUCACGUAGAGUGGUCUCGCGUCUAUAAUUAUCAUGAUUUGACCUCAAAUCAGGUAGGAAUACCCGCUGAACUUAAGCAUAUCAAUAAGCGGAGGAAAAGAAAAUAACAAUGAUUCCCCUAGUAACUGCGAGUGAAGAGGGACAAGCUCAAAUUUUAAAUCCGUCGGGUUUCACCUGAUCGAGUUGUAAUUUUGAAGAGGCGUUUUCCGCGUUUUUGAUCAGUCCAAGUCCUUUUGGGAUAGGCAUCAUGAAGGGUGAGAAUCCCGUUCGCUGAUCAGAUUCGCUUUACGAUACGUCAUCUAAGAGUUCAGUUGUUUGGGAAUGCAGCUUAAAAUGGGGAGGUAAAUUUUCUCCUAAGGCUAAAUACGCGAGAGACGGAUAGCGAACCAGUACCGUGAGGCAAAGAUGGAAAAGACUUUGAAAGAGAAGUUAAACAGUAACGUGAAUUGUUGAGGAACGAUUGAGCCAGUCGUACCGUGUGGUUAAUCCAGCCCUUUCGGCGCGAGAAUAUGGAGCGUGAGGAGUUAAACGCCCUCAUGCCUGCAUAUUCGUGUUCUUUGGGUGUACUUACCCGCAUGGUAGGUUAACAUCAAUUUCGAACGUCAUAAAAUGGUUGGAGGAAUGUAGCUUCGAUCUCGUAUUGAAGUGUUAUAGCCUUCGGCAGAUGUGAUGAUCGGGAUUGAGGAUUGCAACGGAUACCCCUCGGGCUACCCGUCUGAUCUCUGAAAGUUACUCUGGUGCCGAAAGCUCGCUUACGGUCAUCAAAGUUGACGUUCAACAGGUUAGAACGGGAUAAAUUCGUUAAGGAUGUUGACGUAAUGGCUUUAAACGACCCGUCUUGAAACACGGACCAAGGAGUCUAACAUAUAUGCGAGUGUUC